rnacentral:rRNA from 1 species
CAAUAGCGUAUAUUAAAGUUGUUGCGGUUAAAAAGCUCGUAGUUGGAUUUCUGCCGAGGACGACCGGUCCGCCCUCCGGGUGAGCAUCUGGCUCGGCCUAGGCAUCUUCUUGGGGAGCGUAUCUGCACUUCAUUGUGUGGUGCGGUAUCCAAGACUUUUACUUUGAGGAAAUUAGAGUGUUUCAAGCAGGCGUUUGCUUUCGAAUACAUUAGCAUGGAAUAAUAAGAUACGACACUGGUGGUCUAUUUUGUUGGUUUGCACACCAGAGUAAUGAUUAAUAGGGACAGUUGGGGGUAUUCGUAUUCCUGUGGAAGAGGUGAAAUUCUUGGAUCACAGGAAGACGAUCUUAGGCGAAANCANNNACCAUGGAUGUUUUCAUNAA